GUGAGCGCAACGCCCUACUUCCCAACUUUUCCCAUGUCGAGCGAAUGGAUUAAGAGCUUGCUCUUAUGAAGUUAGCGGCGGACGGGUGAGUAACACGUGGGUAACCUGCCCAUAAGACUGGGAUAACUCCGGGAAACCGGGGCUAAUACCGGAUAACAUUUUGAACCGCAUGGUUCGAAAUUGAAAGGCGGCUUCGGCUGUCACUUAUGGAUGGACCCGCGUCGCAUUAGCUAGUUGGUGAGGUAACGGCUCACCAAGGCAACG
rnacentral:rRNA from 1 species